rnacentral:rRNA from 1 species
GACGAACGCUGGCGGCGUGCCUAACACAUGCAAGUCGAACGAGAUCCAUGGGAGCUUGCUCCCGGAAGAUCUAGUGGCGAACGGGUGAGUAACACGUGAGAAACCUGCCCUGGAGUGGGGAAUAACUCGGGGAAACUCGAGCUAAUACCGCAUACCCUCGGAUGGUCGCAUGGCCGACCGAGGAAAGAUUUAUCGCUCUAGGAGGGUCUCGCGGCCUAUCAGCUAGUUGGUGGGGUAACGGCCUACCAAGGCAACGACGGGUAGCUGGUUUGAGAGAACGAUCAGCCACACUGGGACUGAGACACGGCCCAGACUCCUACGGGAGGCAGCAGUGGGGAAUCUUGGACAAUGGGGGAAACCCUGAUCCAGCCAUGCCGCGUGAGUGAUGAAGGCCUUCGGGUUGUAAAACUCUUUCGCGCACGACGAUAAUGACGGUAGUGCGAGAAGAAG